UCUCCGUUGGUGAACCAGCGGAGGGAUCAUUACUGGAAUCGCAAGAUCCCACAACCCAGUGAACCUACCGAAACGUUGCCUCGGCGGGUGCCUGUCCCCCGCGCCGGACCCUGCGCACGCCGGCGGCCCCCUACUCUGUCUCUGCAGCGUGGCCUCUCAGAGUCCCAGAAAACAAGUAAAAACUUUCAACAACGGAUCUCUUGGCUCUA
rnacentral:misc_RNA from 1 species